rnacentral:lncRNA from 1 species
GAUUCCUAGUGGGGAAUGGGGCAGGGUUUCAAAUUGCCCAGUGGUAUAUACUUAGUAUUCAAAGCCUCUCUGCUCUGGGGUUUUUGUUUUUAAACCUUGGCACUUCAUCUUUCAGCUUCCAUUGUGUAAAAGAGAUAAUGAUCCCUGAUGUUGCUGCUUCACAGAGCUGUGCUUGAGAGGGAUCAAAUGAGGCUGAUGAGUAGGUUGGUUGGUUGGUUGUGUUAAAUUGAAGAUAUGAGCAAUUUCCAAUGAGGAUUAGGCCAAAGAUUUCUGGGACAUCGAUGAGAUGAGCAAGCAGUGGCUGGGGCUUCCCUUUAAUUUGGGCCCCUGAGGAUAAGGGUUACUCAGCUGGGAAUCUCCCACCAUUACUGACUGACUGUGAACCUGAGCAAGUGAGUCACGGAGCAUUUGCUGGACUUAGAGCAAAGAAUUUGUUCUGUGUUCCUCACCAGAGGUGUUUUGUGAAAAGUGAGUGCUUUAGAAGUGGUUUGCCUUUAGAAAUGUUAAGCACUGUGAAUAUGGGCAGUAUUUCCUCUUAGGACAGGUAUUUCUUUUAAAAAAAAAAAAGACAAAAAAAACCCUCUAAGUCAAAUAUUUAUCACAGCAGCUAUUUGCAUCACAGAGAAUAGACUUAAAGUGAACAAUAAAGAUGAUAAGCAGUCUCUUCUAUGUUUCAAAAUCGCAUUGAAACAUAUUUUUAAAAAUUUAAGUUUCUCAAAAAUAUAAAAAUAAGAACCAGUUGUCUCAAAACUCAACAGAUCUGUGGAAUCCACAACUUCAUACAAUGUUCAAAGUAUUUCCUCAGCAGAAUGCUGGAAUAAUGCCAAAAUCAAAGUUAAUAGAGGUCUGGAGAUUAAAUGUUGGAUUAGCAGAGCCAAGACCUGCAGGUGUAGCUGGUCUUUUUUAGAUGUUUGACUCGUUUUGUUACUUUGUAUUUCCAGGAAAUUACUUCAGAUUUUUAAAAUUUGUUGUCUUUCAGAGAACCAGCUCUCAGACUUAACAGUUUUAUUGGAGUUCUGUAUUGUAAUAUAUUCAUUUCUGCUUUAAACAUUCAUUUCUUAUGCUUUCCUAAGGGUUUUUAAAAAUCUUUUAUUGUAGAAAUUUUCACCCAUGCAAAAAUAAAAUGUCUCAGUUUUUCAAUCUUA